rnacentral:rRNA from 1 species
UACGUAGGGUGCAAGCAUUAAUCGGAUUUAUUGGGCGUAAAGGGCGCGUAGGCGGAUUGGCAAGUCAGCUGUGAAAGCCCCCAGCUCAACUGGGGAAUGGCAGGUGAAACUACUAAUCUUGAGGGUAGGCGGAGAAAACGGAAUUCCACGUGUAGCGGUGAAAUGCGUAGAUAUGUGGAAGAACACCGGUGGCGAAAGCGGUUUUCUAGCUUAUACCUGACGCUGAGGCGCGAAAGCAAGGGGAGCAAACAGG